UAGUGAUCUUUUACUCUUGCAGGGGAAUCUGCUGAGAUAUGUACCCUUCCAGUGCCUCUGGUAUUGAUCCAACCCUAGGGCUGGCUGGAUUCACACAACACUUUGUGUCAGAGAACCACAAGUCCAGGGUCAAAGGAUGGUUAUUAAAUGAAGUUCUUCACUUGACUUCUUCCCACAACAUUUUAUUAGAAAAUUUUUCAGAAAUGUUGAAUGAAUUGUUCAGCGGACACUCAUAUGCCCACCCUCUAGUUAAUCCACAAUUACCCUUUUCUACAUUUGCUCUAUGAUCCAUCUAUCCAUCCAUCAGUUUGUCUUAUUACUUUUGUGCAUUACAAAGUAAGUCGUGCUUCAGUUGAUGUUGAGUCUCAGGGACUCCACUCUGCCCAGUGAUUGCUUGGCCUUUGUUUAAACUCCCCUGGAGAUGGGAAACUCACUACCUGAUAUGAUUCCCCAUUACAUCUACUCUGGCUGUCACCAAGUUCCCUUCUGUGCAAGGGGUCCAAUGGCAAGCCCUCCCAGGUGUGACUAUUCAAAGGAAAGACACUGAGAGGAACAAAGAGUCAGAAUUCACUGGAGUUGUUACAGCCUGGUUUUUGGGCCCGGCUCUAGGACUUCCCAUGAAGGAGGUGGCUGGCAGGGUCUGAGAAUGUGCAUUACUAACAAGCUCCCAAGUGUGCCUGAUUUGGCUCAUCUAGGACCCCACUUUGAGAAUUGCUGGUCUAAGCUUACACAGAAACCUGGAGGUACAAUUAUCCCUAAAACAACUGGCUAACCAGAGUGUCGGGUGUCCCUUUGGAAUAGAUCUGGAGACAUGCUUCUGCUCUGAAAGUGCCACAGUCUUUACCUCAAGGGAAGCCAAUGCCACCCCUCUCCUGAUGGCCUUGAAUGCACCUGGUUGCUGGCCAGGGGAUGGGGCAGGUGCCUUCACUGAGCCAACUUGCUCCUGACUUGUGUGUGGUUUCCUUGCAGGCUGUGUCUGCUGGUGCUGGCAUGGGUCCCCCCCCCAGUGGCUUCUUUGGCUUUCUUCUUCACCUGGGUGUACACUGGCUCCACUGACCAUACAGGGAUGGGAUCCUGCCCAGGGAGAGGCAUCAUCAUUCGACCUGGGUGAACUGGUGCACACAAUAACCUUUGUUUGCUUUAUUUCCUCUCUGCCCAAAGCUAAAUGUUCUGUAAAAAAGCAAGUGUGUGUCUCCGAGGUUGCCUUUGCCUCUGUCGGCAGACUGGGGAUGCUGUCUUUCACACUCUACUUUUGCAAAUUAAGUCAUUUAAGAAAAAGUAAACUUGUGUUAGUUGUUGACGGUUUAUUAGUACCCAUCUAGAUGGCCUGGCUGGGGAUAGGUGUGAAUUUCAUUAAUUUCCCCUAUGCUUUUGGGGUUUGGCUUCAAGGUCUUUCUUGAACGACCUCUUGUGAGAGCUUUAAUUAACUCUUGCCAGUGUCAAUAUGUUUUAUUACCUUCUGCAGACUGCAGCCUUCCCCCAUGACUAAUUUACUCAGAUGUUUGGGGCCUUGGUAAUGAAGGCAGGAGCUCUGUGCAGACGCUGAAGUGGAUUAAAUCAUUUCAUGGGCUCCAGUUCUAGGGCAGUUCCUCUCCAUCAGAGGUGAUAAUGGAGGGUCACUCCUCUUUGGGAGGAGGUGUGCACGCCAGCAGACUCUAAGCCUAUGGUGAGUAAUGCUCCUGUGAGGCCAGAGAAAAGUCCCAGAGGCAGCAAUCAAGACAUAGGUUUAUUGGAGAACUUACAUAAAGCCCAGGAGCGGCUGGCUGGAUAAAGCUGCUGGGACCCUUACAGUAAGCAUUUAUAGCACAGCCACUGAGCCUAGUGACUCUCUGUAGCCCCUCCCUCCUUGCACCACCAGCACUCCAGGGAGAUCAAGGCCUGCCACCUGGGCAGUCUUUGUCACAAGGGAGACACUCCGGGUUGUCCACCCCUGGGAACCACUGACCUUGAAUGAUAAAAAACAUGUUAUUCUUCACAUUCUGCUUGAUGGGAAUAGAGAGGGAGGACAGGAUCUCCAUGUUCUCAAGAUAGGGAGUAACAGGGGCAUUCAGGGUAUGUCUGUACCAACUAGCCAUCCGGCAUGUUCCAUACAAGAGGGCACCCUGAAGUUUUAGUCAGUUUUGUUGCAUCAGAAACAGAGAGGCUGAGUUGGUCAUAUGACCUUGGGUGUGGCCUUUGAGAUCACAGACAUGGGGUCCAGGACUUGAAUUCAGGUCCCUGCCAUCACUUAAAAGCUGUGGGGUGUGGCAUAUUCACCCCUGCCUUGGGACCCCUUUCCCUCUAUUUGAUAGUGUGGGUAGGAAUCUUGCCCCUCAGAAGGCCAGAUGUGGGGGGCAUCAUUUCAGCCACAGUGGAUGUGGAGUAGCUGACCUCCAUUGGUUGGGUGGGCUGGGGUCUGUGGAGGUGUGGCCGCUGGGGUAGAAGCAGGGAGCUGGCUGUCACAGUCCCCUCCAGCAGCCACAUUCUAGGGUACACCUGCAGCUCCUUGUGUCUCUGCCCACAGGACAUGAAGGGCUGGGGGGAAGCACCCUUCUGAGGAGCACCUUCCCUAGUCUUAGAGCCCCCACAGAUAGAGCCCAGGGGCCCAUGGUGGCCACCAACCUUCCUCUUUCCUGGCCUUUUCUUCUGACCUCACAUCCUUGGAAACUACUGGCUGUCAUGUCCUUUCAACAUCUGCUGAAACAACAUCCUUUCAUCGGGAAACCCAUGAAGGACAGGAGUGUCAGAGGUGGGACGGAGGUGGGACAGCAUGAGAUUAAAGAGCCUCAAGGACAUGGAGCCCUGCGGGGGUGGGAGGCAGACGUGGGAGGUUGUGGAGAAAAUGAGAGAAGAACUAUUGAAAACUUCACUGAAAACCCAGACAUGUAACACCCAAUACUCAGAACUCAGGUGAUAAAACCCAGGACCCUGGACCAGGAGCAAGUAGUCACUGCCCUGCAGACACAGGCCCGUGUAGCAGGUAGAGGCAUGUAGGGUUGGGAUACCUCAGCCCUCUGAGGCUGCAUCCCCAAAUCCAAGUUAAUCCAAAUGCUGAUCUUUGAGGUUAUUUGGAUUUGAUUGAGGUAAAAUUCAUGUACAGUGAAUUGAAUGUAAGGCUGUAAGUAAAUGAUUCCAUGAGACUUGAGAAAUCCAUACACUCAGGUACCUGGCACCCAGUGGAGACAGUGAGCAUUCCACCCUCCGGAAGCCCCUGCGAUGUCUGCCUCUCCCGAGGCACCAGGCAUUCUGGUUCCUCACCACGGACCAGCCUUUCCCAUCAGCUCCACGUCCAACAGAAUUGCAGAGGUGACACUCCUGUCCCACUUCUUUUGUGUCAUAACGUUCUUGAGGUUGAAGGUGCUUGCUUGUAUGGAGUGUUCGUUCCUUUUUAUUGGGGAGUAUUCCAUUCUGUGAACAGACCACAUUUUGUUUGUUCAGGUACUUGUUGAUGUACAUGACAUUUUUGCCAGGUGUUAGCUAUCAUGAGAAAUGCUGAUAUAAAUGUUCUUAUACAAUUUAUUCAUUAUGUAGACAUAUGAUUUCAUUUCUCUUGGGGACAUCAUUUCCCUGAGUCAUCAUGUGGGUGUAUAUUUAAGUUCACAAAAAACCGCCAGACGCUUCUCCAAAUUGGCUGUACAUUUUCACUCCCAAGAAGGGUGCGUGAGUUCCUGGUGCUCCACAUCCUCACCAGCACUUGCUACUGUCAGUCUUUUUUAGUCAUUUUGGUGGGUGCAUAACAGCAUCUCAUUGUGUAUAUAAUUUGCAAUUUUCUGACAACUAAUGGUGUCGAUCAUCUUUUCAUAUACUUAAUUCUGUGUAUCUUAUUUUGUGAAGCAUUUGUUCAUGUUUUUUUGCUCAUAUUUAAAAACUGUGCAUUUAGUUAUUUUGAGAGAGAGGGGAAGAGAGAGGGAGUGCGGGAAGGGCAGAGAGAGAGGGAGAGAGAGAAUCUCAAGCAGGCUCUGUGCUCCUAGCACAGAGCCUGAUGUGGGGCUCAAUCUCAUGAACUGUGAGAUGGUGACCUGGGCCAAAAUCAAGAGUCAGACACUUAACUGACAGAGCCACCCAGGUGCCCUGUUAUUUACUCAUUUUAAAACUGGAUUGUCUUAUGGAAAACAGUAUGGAGGUUCUUCAAAACAUUAAAAAUAGAACUAACAUACAACCCAGCAAUUGCACUACUAGGUAUUUAUCCAAGGGAUACAGGUGUGCUGUUUCGAAGGGGCACAUGCACCCCAAUGUUUAUAGCAGUGCUAUUGACAAUAGCCAAAGUAUGGAAAAAGCCCAAAUGUCCAUCAAUGGAUGAAUGGAUAAAGAAGAUGUGGUAUGUAUGUACACACACACACACACACACACACAAUGGAGUAUGACUCGGCAAUCAAAAAGAAUGAAAUCUUGCCAUUUACAGCUAUGUGGUAGGGUAUUAUGUUAAGCAAAAUUAGAGAAAGACAAAUACUAUAUGACUUCAUUCAUAUGAGGAAUUUAAGAUACAAAACAGAUGAGCAUAAGGGAAGGGAAGCAAAAAUAAUAUAAAAACAGAGAGGGGGACAAAACAUAAGAGACUUUUAAAUACAGAGAAUAGAGGGUUGCUAGAGGGGUUGUGGGAGGGGGGAUGGGCUAAAUGGGUAAGGAGCAUUAAGGAAUCUACCCCUGAAAUCAUUGUUGUGCUAUAUGCUAACUAAUGUGGAUGCAAAUUAAAAAAUAAAUUAAUUUAAAAAUAAUAAAAUUGGAUUGUAUUUUAAA